rnacentral:rRNA from 1 species
UGAGGAAUUUUGCGCAAUGGGGGAAGCCCUGACGCAGCAACGCCGCGUGGGUGAUGAAGGCCUUCGGGUCGUAAAGCCCUGUCGGGCGGGAAGAACGUCCCUUCGGGGAGUGACGGUACCGCCAGAGGAAGCACCGGCUAACUCCGUGCCAGCAGCCGCGGUAAUACGGAGGGUGCAAGCGUUAUUCGGAAUUACUGGGCGUAAAGGGCGUGCAGGCGGGAGAGCAAGUCUGAUGUGAAAGCCCGGGGCUUAACCCCGGAAGGGCAUUGGAAACUGCUUUGCUUGAGUUCUGGAGAGGAAGGGAGAAUUCCCGGUGUAGAGGUGAAAUUCGUAGAGAUCGGGAGGAACAUCAGUGGCGAAGGCGCCCUUCUGGACAGCAACUGACGCUGAGACGCGAAAGCGUGGGGAGCAAACA